CCUACGGGUGGCAGCAGUGGGGAAUAUUGGGCAAUGGGAGGAAUCCUGACCCAGCGACGCCGCGUGAACGAAGACGGCCUUCGGGUUGUAAAGUUCUUUUAUGUGGGAAGAAGGAAGUGACGGUACCACAUGAAUAAGCCCCGGCUAACUACGUGCCAGCAGCCGCGGUAAUACGUAGGGGGCGAGCGUUGUCCGGAAUUACUGGGCGUAAAGGGCACGCAGGCUGUGCUUCAAGUCAGCUGUAAAAGGAUGCGGCUUAACCGUGUUAUGCAGUUGAGACUGAGGUGCUGGAGUACCGGAGAGGCAAGUGGAAUUCCCAGUGUAGCGGUGAAAUGCGUAGAUAUUGGGAAGAACAUCGGUGGCGAAGGCGACUUGCUGGACGGUAACUGACGCUGAGGUGCGAAAGCCAGGGUAGCGAACGGGAUUAGAUACCCUGGUAGUC
rnacentral:rRNA from 1 species